rnacentral:rRNA from 1 species
CGCUGAAGCACUUUCGGGUGUGGAUGAGUGGCGAACGGGUGAGUAACACGUGGGUAACCUGCCCUGUACUUUGGGAUAAGCCCUGGAAACGGGGUCUAAUACCGAAUAUGACUCGCUAAGGCAUCUUGGUGGGUGGAAAGUUUCGGCGGUACAGGAUGGGCCCGCGGCCUAUCAGCUUGUUGGUGGGGUAGUGGCCUACCAAGGCGACGACGGGUAGCCGGCCUGAGAGGGUGACCGGCCACACUGGGACUGAGACACGGCCCAGACUCCUACGGGAGGCAGCAGUGGGGAAUAUUGCACAAUGGGCGGAAGCCUGAUGCAGCGACGCCGCGUGAGGGAUGACGGCCUUCGGGUUGUAAACCUCUUUCGCCAGGGACGAAGCGCAAGUGACGGUACCUGGAGAAGAAGCACCGGCUAACUACGUGCCAGCAGCCGCGGUAAUACGUAGGGUGCAAGCGUUGUCCGGAAUUAUUGGGCGUAAAGAGCUCGUAGGCGGCUUGUCGCGUCUGCUGUGAAAAUCCGGGGCUUAACUCCGGACCUGCAGUGGAUACGGGCAGGCUUGAGUUCGGUAGGGGAGACUGGAAUUCCUGGUGUAGCGGUGAAAUGCGCAGAUAUCAGGAGGAACACCGGUGGCGAAGGCGGGUCUCUGGGCCGAUACUGACGCUGAGGAGCGAAAGCGUGGGGAGCGAACAGGAUUAGAUACCCUGGUAGUCCACGCUGUAAACGUUGGGCGCUAGGUGUGGGCGACUUCCACGUUGUCCGUGCCGUAGCUAACGCAUUAAGCGCCCCGCCUGGGGAGUAC